rnacentral:rRNA from 1 species
CGUCAAAUCAGCACGGCCCUUACGUCCGGGGCGACACACGUGUUACAAUGGGAGGUACAGAGGGUCGCUACCACGCAAGUGGAUGCUAAUCCAUAAAGCCUCUCUCAGUUCGGAUCGAAGUCUGCAACUCGACUUCGUGAAGCUGGAUUCGCUAGUAAUCGCGCAUCAGCCAUGGCGCGGUGAAUACGUUCCCGGGCCUU